UGUGUACAAUAUGAGCACCAUGGUUUCAUAAGUUGGUAGCUAAGUAUUGAAACUGACUGAUGAUGUUAUUUAUGUUUGAAUUAUAAGGUCAUGAAAUCCCAGAACCGGAAGAGAUCUUUAAAAUCAUCUAGUCCAACCAGUCAUUCACUGCUUGAAUUUUUCUUAUUAUUCACUUGACCAUUGCUGAUAUUUGACUAUUUUUUGACUUACAAACACAGCAUUUUUAUACAGUUCAACCUAAUACAAACAUUUAUUAAGUUUGGUGCUGGGCCAGGACCACAUAAGAUGGAUUAGUCAAGACAACCCUACCCAACUCUUUAUACAGGGGAGAAAUGUGAAACCAAAUAAUUAUAACAUAGUGACUAUUUGUAGAAAUAAAAUGGCUAAAGUGGCCUCACCUAUCCAAAAUGAACAGGCUUGGUGCUGAGUUGAGUGGUCAAAUUGUGUGAUCUAAUGCAACAGUUCAAAACUCCAUCAAACUCUAUGAGGCUAUUCGUAACCAAUGAGGGAUUCACUACAGAGACAUGAAUUUCGGCCACUUUCUAGCUUGAGCUCAUGGCUAAAUAGUGAAGCAUUUACUCGUGCUUCUCCAGCUUCUUGGAGAACUCACUCAUGCUGCAGGAAAAGAUUACAAUUUUACCAGUCACUUCAGUCUCUAUCCCAAAAGCUGUGUUUCCCAUAGCACAUGGCUAUGGGUUCAUAGACAUUGAAGGUUAAGUAGAAAUUACUCUUAGAAGCAACUUCUAUUGACCACGAUCCCACCUGUUAGAAAUAGGUCCUAACUGUGUAAAUGAUGAAAGGACUAUCUUUCCUUGGUAUUUAAUUCUAUUGGCUUCAGUUAGUCACUUGAAACUGCACAAGAUGGAGAUGAAUUCCUUAAUGUUCUUAUUUCAGCACAUAACAUACACAGUGCUAGGCUGGCAUCAGAAAAUAGAUAUGCUAUGGCCCCUGUCCUCAAGUUAUGCUAAAGUCCUCUUAAGUCUAAAUACUUUAAAAAGGUUUGAUGAGUGUAAUAUAUUCAUCCAUCCAUCCAUCAUUUAUGAAGCACUGACUAACGUCAGGCAUUUUCCUGAACUCUGGGAUAAGUGGGAAAUAAGACAAAGUCCCUGCUGCCACCCCACCCUUACCAUGUAUAUAUUUAUUGGAACAAUAUACUGAAUUUUCAAAAGGACAUUCCACUUAUGUGCUUUUUUCAUUUGUUUCAGCAACCGGAGAAAACUGUAUCACUCAGAAUCUGAGUGGUGGCAGAGACUAUAACUGCCUUGUUCGCUGCUAUAUCUGCAACGCUAAAAGUAUACUGUCUGCCACAUACAACUGGAGAGCCUGUAUCACUCAGAAUCUGAGAGGCAGCUCCUGACUUGAAAAUGAUCAUUGUGUGUAAUGUAGAUCGAGUCUUGCUCUGUCACCCAGGCUGGAGUGCAGUGGUGUGAUCUGCAGCCUCAAAAUCCUGGACCAAAGCAAUCCUCCCACCUUAGCCUCCCAAGUAGUUGGGAUUACAGAAGUGAGCUACUAUGACCAGCUUCAAAUUUCUUUAAUAGCUUAAACCUGUCCAAGCAAGAUGAGAAACAUAACACCUAGUCUAUUAUCUCACUGGUUCCAUGAUUUUAUGAGUCAGAGCGAACUGAAGUUUGGCUCAAAUCAAAGUUUAUGUUAUUGCUCCUGCAUUCUUCUUUUGAAUCAUAAUAAAAAUCUCAUCCAACAAGGAAGCUGAGGUUCAGAGUUAAUGAUGAGAGCAUAUGGAAUUUGAAUCCAGGUUAAGACAACUUCAAAGCUGGUGCCAUUUUCCACUACCCAGCACAGUCACUGGUAAAGGUAUCCUUCCAGACAGAAUGUGUUCUAGUUACGGGUAUGCAUUUUCUUUCCUGAAAAAGUAAACCCUCUAUCUGUGAAAUAACUGCUAAAUCUUCUUGUGUGGUUUUUAUAUACUAAUUAAUCUCUUAACAACCUAAUACAUGUUUUUGUUAUAAAUAACCUAAUAUUCAUUUUGUGAAAUGCAGCAAAAAGGAUAAAAUGGUCAUUUCCUUUCAUUAAGAUACUUCAUUUUCUCUUAUCAUUCUCUAUAAAUAUAAGAAAUUAAUAAAAGUGAUUUACUAUUAAUAAAAUCUUAAAAAUAAACACAAAUAUCUUGCUCACUAA
rnacentral:lncRNA from 1 species